CUCCCGGGGCGAGUGACUUAAGGCGCUGGGAAAGCGGCGGCGGCGGCGACGGCGACGACGACGACGACGACGACGACGAGAGCGACUCGGGACAGCAUGAGCGGCUGCGGGCUCUUCUUGCGCUCGGCGGCGGCGGCGCGCUCGUGCCGUGCCCUGGUGGCCUUCACCGCGAGUCGGCGCCCGCUGCGCACCAGUCCACCGAGCCAAGCUUUCGCCAAGGAGCUCUUCCUGGGCAAAAUCGAGAAGAAAGAAGUUUUCCCGUUUCCAGAAGUUAGCCAAGAUGAACUUAAUGAAAUUAAUCAGUUUGUGGGACCUGUAGAAAAAUUCUUCACUGAAGAGGUGGACUCUCAAAAAAUCGACCGGGAGGGAAAAAUCCCAAAUGAAACUUUAGAGAAACUGAAGAGCCUGGGGCUUUUUGGGAUGCAAGUCCCAGAAGAAUACGGUGGCCUGGGCCUCUCCAACACCAUGUACGCGCGGCUGGGGGAGAUCAUCAGCCUGGAUAGCUCCAUCGCCGUGACGCUGGCAGCACACCAGGCCAUCGGCCUCAAGGGCAUCAUCUUGGCCGGCAGCGAGGAACAGAAGGCCAGGUACCUGCCCAGGCUGGCGUCCGGGGAGCACGUGGCCGCCUUCUGCCUGACGGAGCCCGCCAGUGGGAGCGAUGCCGCCUCCAUCCGGACCAGGGCCACGUUAAGUGAAGAUAAGAAACACUACGUCCUCAACGGCUCCAAGGUCUGGAUCACCAAUGGAGGACUGGCCAGUGUUUUUACUGUGUUUGCAAAGACAGAGGUUGUUGAUUCUAAUGGCUCAGUAAAGGACAAGGUCACAGCGUUCAUAGUAGAGAGAGACUUUGGUGGAGUCACCAGCGGGAAACCUGAGGAUAAGUUAGGAAUCCGAGGCUCCAACACCUGCGAGGUCCACUUUGAGAACACCAGGGUGCCCGUGGGAAACAUCCUCGGAGAAGUUGGAGGCGGCUUUAAGGUGGCCAUGAACAUCCUCAACAGCGGGCGGUUCAGCAUGGGCAGUGCCGUGGCCGGGAUGCUCAAGACGCUGAUCGAAAUGACCGCCGAGUACGCCUGCACAAGGAAACAGUUCAACAGGAACCUCAGCGAGUUUGGACUGAUUCAGGAGAAGUUUGCCCUGAUGGCUCAGAAGGCUUACGUGAUGGAAAGCAUGGCCUACCUCACCGCGGGGAUGCUGGACCAGCCGGGCUUUCCCGACUGCUCCAUCGAGGCCGCCACGGUCAAGGUGUUCAGCUCCGAGGCCGCGUGGCAGUGCGUGAGCGAGGCGCUCCAGAUCCUCGGGGGCUCGGGCUACAUGAGGGACUACCCGUACGAGCGCAUCCUGCGUGACAGCCGCAUCCUGCUUAUCUUCGAGGGAACCAACGAGAUUCUCCGGAUGUACAUCGCCCUGACAGGCUUGCAGCAUGCCGGCCGCGUCCUGACUGCGAGGGUCAGGCAGCUUAAACAGGGCAAUGUGACCACCAUCCUGGAGACUGUCGGCCAGAGGCUUCGGGACUCCCUGGGCCGAACUGUGGACCUUGGGCUGACAGGGAAGCUCGGAGUCGUGCACCCCAGCAUGGCGGACAGCGCCCACAAGCUCGAGCAGAACGUGCACUACUUCAGCCGCACCGUGGAGACCCUGCUGCUUCGCUUUGGCAAGAGCAUCGUGGAGGAGCAGCUGGUCUUGAAACGAGUGGCCAACGUCCUCAUCAACCUGUACGGGAUGACGGCCGUGCUGUCGCGGGCCAGCCGCUCUAUCCGUGUGGGGCUCCAGAACCACGACCACGAGGUUCUGUUGGCCAACAUCUUCUGCACGGAAGCUUACCACCAGAAUCUCUGCACCCUGUCUCAGCUGGACAAGCAUUCUCCGGAAAAUCUCGAUGAACUGAUCAAGAAAGUGUCCCAGCAGGUCCUGAAGAAGCGAGCCUACGUCUGUGCCCACCCUCUGGACCGGCCGUCCUGAAGCAGGGGGUCAGCGUCCCUGCUGCUGUCCGCCCGACACACGCCUUCCAGAAGAAACCAAGCCCAGAGCCGGGGCGGGACCUGCCCCCCGUCAUACAGCAAGUGACGAAUCCAGCUGGAACCAGAAGUUCCAGCCCAGCCUGCGCUGUGACACCAGCCCAGGAGUGUGGCUGCUAAAACAGAACGGGUGCCGCCCACGGUUACCUGUCCUGGGCUGUGGCGCCGGAGGGGGCGGCAGCUCCAAGAAUGGCGGCGGCUGCGUGUACAGAUCGAAGUCCUGGGGGCGCCGGUCCCAGCCCCAGCUCUCUCGGUGCAGCACCGGCUCCAGCACGUUAGCAAACAGUGCCUUCUCCCUCCACUCCUACGUCGGGGGGCAGCAGGUCAGGGGGAGGCCCCUGCGGACGCCCGCCGGAGACCCACUCCCGCCACCCACCUCUGUGAUGGCGCCGGGGGGUGGCAGCCCCAAGUGAUGUGUCCUGCCAGUGCUGUGAAGACCGGUCACUUGGAAGCCGCUGGGUGUGAGCCAGGCGUCGCGGGACUUCCUCUCGGCUUUUCUCUUCUCCUCCUCUGAAUCCUGAGGCUCCACUGUGGCUGACAGGUGGCUCUGGGAGUACGUGAGUCUCUUCCUCGGCUCCUGGAAACGCGAGCAGACGUGGAUAGACGGGCUGACAGCGGACCUCGGGGCGGCGGACCGGCUGCCAGUCUUGGGGGCAGGGUGCUGGCUCCUGGUGGUGCGGGGUGCCUGCUGGUUACCAGAGCCAGGCAGCAGCCCAGCGAGGGCCACGUCCCUGUUCCCUUUGACAGAGCCCUUUUCUGAAGUGGUCAGGGCGGGAAGGAAGCCUAAGCCCAGGCUUUCCCUGCCGGGGUUAGGCUGCCUUUCCUAGGCAGCAAUGAAGGGCUACCGAGAGCCACGCACACCUGGACAGGCGCUGGGGGCCUCUGGGCUCAACGUGGCGUGUAGAGGGUUCACGCCUCUCUGUGCCGGCGCUCGUCCCUUGUCGGCUCCUCCCCACCCCGGAGACCCCCCGCCGCCCUGCCUGGAGUGGAGGUGCGUCACUGCUCCCCACCCUGGGCCUUAACUCACCUUGGCCGUCUCUCGAUACAGCUCCUUCUUUGCAAGCUCUGUAGAGUUCAGGGUCUGGAUACUGUAGUUAGAGACAGCAUCCUUGGCCGGGGCUGAGAUCUUGAUCACCUUCACAACAGACUUGGGAGACUUCUUGCUGACCUCGUAGGCCCCCGAGAUGUUUUUCUGGAGAAAGAGACACCAGUCACUCCUCACAAGCGGCCUGCUCGCCAGCAACUGUCAGUGUGUACCCAGCCAGCUGACCUCUGGGACACAGCUGCCCUGCAGGUACCUGUCCUGAGAGCAUAAACAGACCUCUGCCUAAAGGACCAUCAGGACAAGCCCUCACUGCGCACAUUGUAAUUCGAGGACCGAAAAAGUGGAACCCUCCUCCAUUUUCGUGCGAAUGUACAUUGGUAAAAGCCACCGUAAAGGACAGUAUCGAAGUUCCUAACAAAACUAAAAAGAGCCCGGCCCCAGGAGCACUCCUGGGCAUCUAUCUGGAGAAACCCAUAAUUGGAAAUGAACCAGGCGCCCCGGGGUUCAUUGCAGCACUGGUUCCAACAGCCAGGACACAGAAACAACCAAAAUGUCCACCAACAGAUGACUGGAUAAGACAACGUGGUACGUAUAUACAAUGGACUAUUACUCAGCCAUAAACAAGAAUGAAAUAAUGCUACUGGCGGCAACAUGCAUGGACCUGGGAUGCACAUACAGUAAGUGAAGUGAGUCAGAGGAAGAUGAACAGCAUAUGAUAUCACCUAUACCUGGGACUGAACAACAGAUACACAUGAACUCAUUUAGAAAACAGCAACACACACACACACUUGGAAAACGAACGUAGGGUUACCAAAAAGGAAAAGUGGGGGCCAAGGACAAAUUAGGAGGUUGGGCUUCAUAUACACACAAGUGUAUUUAUAUAUGUGUGUGUGUGUAUAUAUAUAUGUGUGUGUGUGUGUGUGUGUGUGUAUAUAUAUAUAUAUAUACACACACACAUACAUACAUUUGAUGGAUAAUCAACAUGGACCUCCUGUAAAGCACAGGGAAAUCUGCUCAGUGUUCUGCAAUAACCUAUAUGGGAAAAGAACUCAGAAUAGAUACAUGAAUAUCAAUAAGUGAAUCAGGUUGCUGUACACCUGAAAACAACACAACAUUGUAAAUCAACUAUACUCCAACAUAUCAUGAAAAUAAACAAGAAUAGCAAAGAAAUGUCUGCUCUAUUCCCCUCUGGCCUCAGGGACCUGGGCUGGUAUCACAUACCUGAAGCCUGAGCAGACUUUGGUCCCAAGGCUGCACUGUGCUGGGGAUGAGGGAGCACGGGAGGGUGUGCUCCCACAUGGGGCCCCCCUUGGACCUGUCUUGUCCGUUCCCCUUGGGAGGGGACCACCAUCUCCAGAUCCAGGUGGGCCCUCCUACACCUAAACGAAGCCGAGCACACCCAAACGACAGUGGACCCUCUGGGCUGGAGGAGCUUCGAGAAGUCACCUGGUCUGCACGUCUCCUGCAGGCAGGGGGCCUCCAGCCUCCUUCCUGGGAGUCACCCUACCUAUGAAACACAGCACACACUCAGGGCCGUUUGCAGGGGUUGCCGUUUGUCUCGGGGGGCAGGGGUGAGGCUGAAGGGGGAAGAAGUAGUGAGACCCAAGCCCUUGAGACUUUGCUCUGGCACAUUCCCCUCUAAUUCACAGCCCAGGAAGCAGACUUUCCCUAAGGCUUUUUGUUGCCAAGUAACUGGAGUUGGGCAUGAAGAAAUGCUGCCGCCUUGUGGACGUUUCCCGGAACAACUUUACAACGGGUGCUUCAGGGCACCUCAUAUUCACAAAGCUUGAAGGGCUGUUAAUAACGCUGAAUUCCAAACACAGCCGACUUUCAAAAAGCCAAUUUGAAGAGGCGAAUUUUAUACCGUUUGAAGAGGAAAAAAAAACCCAAAGAGGAAGAUGACAAGAUGCUCAACAUUGCUAAUUCUGAGAGCAAAGCCAAUGAAAACUACAGUGAGGUGUCACCUUCCACCAGUCACAAUGGCCAGCAUCAAAAAAUCUACAAGCAGUAAAUGCUGCGGUGAGCCUAGAAAAAAGGGAACCCUCUACAGUGUUGGUGGGAAAGUAAAUUGGUGCAGCCACUACGGAGAACAGUAUGCAGGAUCCUUAAAAAACUAUUUGCACAGUUACCGUACAAUACAACAAUCCCACUCCUUGGUUUAUCUCUGGAGAAAAGUGUAGUUGGAAAAGAUCAUGAACCCUAAUGUUCACAGCAUUACUAUUACAAUAGCCAAGACAUGGAAGCAACCUAAGUGUCCACUGACAGAUGAAUGGGUAAGGAAAACAUGGUAUAUAAACAAAAUGGAGGGCUUCCCUGGUGGCACAGUGGUUAAGAAUCCGCCUGCCAAUGCAGGGGACACGGGUUCGAGCCCUGGUCCGGGAAGAUCCCACAUGCCGCGCAGCAACUAAGCCCAUGCGCCACAACUACUGAGCCUGUGCUCUAGAGCCCACGAGCCACAACUGCAGAGCCUGCGUGCUGCAACUACUGAAGCCUGUGCACCUAGAGCCCGUGCUCCACAACAAGAGAAGCCACCGCAAUGAGAAGCCCGCACUCCACAACAAAGAGCAGCCCCGGCUCACCGCAACUAGAGAAAGCCCGCGCGCAGCAAUGAAGACCCAACACAGCCAAAGAUAAACAAAUACGUUUUUAAAAUAAGUAAAUAAAUACAAUGGAAUAUCAGUCAGCCAUAAGGAAGAAUGAAAUAAUGCCAUUUGCAGCAACAUGGAUCCACCUAGAGAUGAUCAUACGUGAAGCAAGUCAGACAGAGAUAGACCAAUAUCAUAUGAUAUCACUUAUAUGUGGAAUCUAAAACGUUAUAAGUGUAAUACAGGGAACUAUACUCAAUAAUCUGUAAUAAUAUAUAUGGGAAAAGAAUCUAAAAAAGAGUGGUUAUAUGUAUAACUGAUUCAGUUUGCUGUACAGCAGAAACUAGCAACACUGUAAAUCAACUAUACUCCAAUAAAAAUUAUAAGAACAAAAAAAAAACAGCAUGAGAGAAAGGGGCUUAUUUACAAAACAGAAGCAGAAUCAGACAUAGAAAACAAAUUUAUGCUUACCAGAGCAGUAAGGGUGGUGAGGGAUAAGGUAGGAGUUUGGGAUUAGCAGAUACACCCUACUGUAAAUAAAAUAAACAAGGUCCUACUCUAUAACACAGGGAAAUACAUUCAAUAUCUUGUGAUGAUUACCUAUGACGGAGAAGAAUAUGAAAAGUAU